rnacentral:tRNA from 1 species
AAAAUUUUAGUUUAAUUUAAAACUUUUUUUUUACAAAAAAGAAAUAAUUUAUAUUUAAUUAAAUUUUA